rnacentral:rRNA from 1 species
UACAGAGGUGGCAAGCGUUGUUCGGAAUUACUGGGCGUAAAGGGCGCGUAGGCGGCCUUCUAAGUCAGACGUGAAAUCCCCAGGCUUAACUUGGGAACUGCGUCUGAUACUGGGAGGCUUGAGUGCGGGAGAGGGAUGUGGAAUUCCAGGUGUAGCGGUGAAAUGCGUAGAUAUUGGGAAGAACACCGGUGGCGAAGGCGGCGACCUGGUCCAUUACUGACGCUGAGGCGCGAUAGCGUGGGGAGCAAACAGG